GGUGGCUCAGUGGUAGAGUACUUGCCUUGCAUGCAUGAGGCCCUGGGUUCGAUUCCUUAGCACCA
rfam:Dipodomys ordii contig_52234, whole genome shotgun sequence.